rnacentral:lncRNA from 1 species
AUUUCUUUGCUCUGGAUAUCCAUUCCUCUGGAUCAAUCCCCUCAAAAGUAGGCAACUCCACACUUUUCAUCCAAAAUUUCUGUAUUUCCCCUUCUCUUCUUCUAUUUCCUCUUCUGCCUCGUUCCUUCUUCCUCUCCUUUCCCCAUUUACUCACCCUUGACUACCCUCUUUUAGUUCCCCUAACCCUCUUUCUACUGCACUGAUUCUUACCUCC